AGUGAACGCUGGCGGUAGGCCUAACACAUGCAAGUCGAACGGCAGCACAGUAAGAGCUUGCUCUUACGGGUGGCGAGUGGCGGACGGGUGAGGAAUACAUCGGAAUCUACUUUUUCGUGGGGGAUAACGUAGGGAAACUUACGCUAAUACCGCAUACGACCUACGGGUGAAAGCAGGGGAUCUUCGGACCUUGCGCGAUUGAAUGAGCCGAUGUCGGAUUAGCUAGUUGGCGGGGUAAAGGCCCACCCAGGCGACGAUCCGUAGCUGGUCUGAGAGGAUGAUCAGCCACACUGGAACUGAGACACGGUCCAGACUCCUACGGGAGGCAGCAGUGGGGAAUAUUGGACAAAGGGCGCAAGCCUGAUCCAGCCAUACCGCGUGGGUGAAGAAGGCCUUCGGGUUGUAAAGCCCUUUUGUUGGGAAAGAAAAGCAGCAGGUUAAUACCCCGCUGUUCUGACGGUACCCAAAGAAUAAGCACCGGCUAACUUCGUG
rnacentral:rRNA from 1 species